UACGUAGGGGGCAAGCGUUGUCCGGAUUUAUUGGGCGUAAAGCGCGCGUAGGCGGCAAGGUAUGUCGUGCGUGAAAUCUCCCGGCUUAACUGGGAGGGCCGUGCGAAACUGCCUGGCUUGAGGUCGGAAGGGGAAAGUGGAAUUCCGGGUGUAGUGGUGGAAUACGUAGAUAUCCGGAGGAACACCAGCGGCGAAGGCGGCUUCUGGUCCGAUUCUGACGCUGAGGCGCGAAAGCGUGGGGAGCGAGUCCGG
rnacentral:rRNA from 1 species